UCUGAAGCGUUUCACAUUUUAAGUAAUAAACGCUUCUUAAUGCUCUUCUUGGUAGAAUGGAUCAUGUUUAGGGUUUCUUGCCUGAUAAUGUGACCUACAAUACUUUUAAUAAUGCGCAUUGCCGACUAGGCCUAUUAGGUCUAACUGUGGCCUAUGGCUGUGCCAUUCCUUGGAUGCAGAAUCUGCAGAUUAUUUUGUACCAGAACUGCAAAAUCCUUCUAAAGCAAUCUUAAUGGAGUUGUAGCCAUCUUUUGGGUGGAAGCAGGACAGAUUCAAUGUAAUAAUUGAACAGUUCUUUUUAAUGAAGGGAUCAAUUCACCUUUUCAUACACGUUUACAUUUCAGCAAUAUAUCGUCUACCAUUCAUAUUUAAUCAUUAUUGAUGUUUCAAAAAAUUAAUUGAAAUGAAUUAUGGAUAAUAUAGUGAUUAUGUAUGAAUCUUUACAUUGAUAAUAUCUAG